UACGUAGGGGGCAAGCGUUGUCCGGAUUUAUUGGGCGUAAAGAGCUCGUAGGCGGUUUGGUAAGUCUGGUGUGAAAUCUCCACGCUCAACGUGGAGGGGCCACCCGAUACUGCCAUGACUGGAGUCCGGUAGAGGAGUGUGGAAUUCCCGGUGUAGCGGUGAAAUGCGUAGAGAUCGGGAAGAACACCCGUGGCGAAGGCGGCCGGCUGGGCCGGAUCCGACGCUGAGGCGCGAAAGCGUGGGGAGCAAACAGG
rnacentral:rRNA from 1 species